AUGGGAAACCCGCCUUUGUGGCACAGGAAAGUCACCCGCCUCUUCCCUCCCGCCGCCUGUGUUCUCCCUCCCGUUUUCUGUGAUGAGUGUCCCGGGAGGAGCAAAGUAGCGCUAAUAUCAACAAUGAGAGGAGAGGUCAACACAUGCCAAGAAUAUUAUUGAAAACCUGUUGGCUAAAAAAAGGAAACGAUUCAGCAGUGACGGCGGUGACACAAGGGGCUGCGCGGGACAGUAGCAGCAGGAGAUGGAGCUAGACAAGGCGGGGCAGGACAGUGCUGUCAAUGACCCAGACGCCCUGCUAACCCAGCCGCCAGCAGGAUGGAUGGCUGCCGAGGGAUCAUAACCUCCUCGAGAAGACACACACCUGGGCGUCUCCAGGAUCCUUCUGACACACAGGUAAGCCCACGUGUCCAUUACAAGUCGCUCAGGUAGAAAUGAGGUAAGGAUCAAGGCUUACCUAAGAUCUGCUCC